rnacentral:rRNA from 7 species
UAAACGACUCUCGGCAACGGAUAUCUCGGCUCACGCAUCGAUGAAGAACGUAGCAAAAUGCGAUACUUGGUGUGAAUUGCAGAAUCCCGUGAACCAUCGAGUUUUUGAACGCAAGUUGCGCCCGAAGCCAUCCGGUUGAGGGCACGUCUGCCUGGGCGUCACGC